rnacentral:lncRNA from 1 species
ACACUGACGGAGAAGAGGAUUCUGGGAAAGACGGUGACUGGCUUCCCCUCUACAAACAGAGCUGCUUUUGAAGGGGUGUCGAUGAUGUUCAAGACUAACAGCCUGCACUCACUCACCACGAAUAACAGCAAUAAACUAGAUCCCUCAUCCACUCGCUUCUGUAUAAAACCACAGAAGCUCAGGCGCCUUUAGUGCAGACCGUAAACGGAGCGUUCCCGUCACAGAUGAGCGGCUCUCAUUACACACUGUGACUUUUUACUGGAUGCGUGAGUCACGCGCUUAUGUCCUACGCAUACCCAUUAAAAGCAACGGGCCUCCGCAGACCUCCAAAAAAAAAAAAAAAAAUAGGGCUGUCUUGUACUGUUAGAUCUCCUCCUACCCAGCAAAGGUGCUAUAAAUCAAAAGAUGCCAACGGAAUCCGAUUUUUUCCAGGAGCAACUGAGCCAUCUUCAAACAGUCCAAAGACCAACUUCCUAUUUGAAAUGACCGCACCCCACCAGCAGCUAAAAGCAAAAUGUUGUCUCUGCACAAGUGCACGUCAAGCUUCAGAAAGCAUACAGCUUCCACGCAGGCAACAUGAACGCCAAAGCCAGGGCUUGAUAGCUAAUUAAACUAAUAAUAUGUUUUUCGA